rnacentral:misc_RNA from 1 species
GGGCCGUCGCCUCCCCCAGGGGAGGUGCCCGCCGGAGGACCCCAAACUAUACUUGAAUCAUUGGCCCUUCUGAGAAUAAGCUUCAAUAAUCAAAACUUUCAACAACGGAUCUCUUGGUUCUGGCAUCGAUGAAGAAC